ensembl:snRNA U2 U2 spliceosomal RNA
AUUGCUUCUUGGCCUUGUGGCUAAGAUCAAGUGUAGUAUCUGUUCUUAUCAGUUUAAUAAAUGUAACACACCGUAUUAACAUAGCAAAGGACAAAAACCAUAU